GGUGGAGUAUUUUCACCAACAUCUAAGACAGUGAACAGAGUCUAGACUAGUAGACAGAAAAUUAAUGCUUUGGCAGUCCUAGCCUCUACUAACACGAACAACUUAUUGAGGGCUUGUAUACUAUGCUAAGUGCUUUGCAGCUAGCACCUCACCUCAUUACAUUCUUAGAGUACCCCACGAAGUAGGCAUUAUCCUGUAUCUUUACUUUAUAGAUAAGAAAAUUAAGAUCUGCAAAGACUCACUCUGCUAAGAUUAUGCAGCAAGAAAGAGUAGGAACCCAGAAUUCAUACUCAGUUAUGGUCUGUCUAUAAAACCACUCUGCCAUUUUGCAUCUUCCAGAAUAAAAUCUGUCCUUUCCUCAACCUGUACAGCUUCACAAAAAAAGGCCACUUAUGGUCUGAAGACUGCCUCCCUAAGAUUAGUCAACUGGCCAGCUGGAGCCCCAGGCCAAUCUUGUGCCUCCAAAGGAGUUUGGUCAUUGCAUGAAACAUGGUCACUGUUGCAUCCUUUUGCUCCAGCUGAGUCGUGCCCACCUGCGUCUUCAAUCUUUGCGUUGACAGCUACAUUGUUCCACUCUCCAAAAGACGAAGGACCUCUCAGAUUGUGCUCCUUACCUCAUAAUGAGAAUUAGCAGCAGGCCUGGAUGGAUUCGUAAGCAAUGUGAGCCUGCUCUCCUGCAAAUGUCUUUAAUAAUAGAUGAUGAGAAAGGCAGAAGGUGGCACCUGCAAAGUGCAUCAGACACAGCAUCAUUGGAGACUCUUGCCAACACCAGUUCUCCUGGUCCAGUCACCAGUUGUGACGUUUCAACAUGGCUGCUCCUGUUUUCCUC